AUGCACUCCGUAGAUAUCACAAGUGACCUCCCAGUUCCUGAGGGUAGAAGCCAUGUCUCAAUGGCAGAGUACUACUGCUACUGCUUUCAUUAUAAAAAAGAUCAAUUCAAUCCAUUUCUUUGCUGUGGAAGAUUAUCUUCUCAGUCCCAGGUUGAUGGUUUUGCAAGUGUUGAAGAAGGCAGGCUAACAUACAUAGCAGAGCAUCAAGAUGACUUUAGAUGCGAACAUUUCCAAGGUGUUGCUGAUGCCGUUGGCCAGGGACAUCUUGAUGGUAGCAGUAUAGGUAAAAAGAGAAUUAUCCAUGCAGCCUUCACAGGCAGCGAUUGCUAUGGACAGCAAAAUUUUCAAGAUGGUGUCACAAUCUGUCGUGUUUUUGGUCCACCUCAUUUAUUUGUCACCUUCAUGUGUAACCCGAAGUGGGAUGAGAUCAAAGAUGCCCUUGUAUUUUAG
rnacentral:rRNA from 1 species